rnacentral:antisense_RNA from 1 species
AAUAACAAAAUAUGAUACUCGGUCUAAGGGUCAAGUUGGUAAUUUGUCUUACAUAUCGCAUUCCCGGAGCCAAGGUAUCAUAUACGCCCUAAAAAUAAAGAGCCUUGAACACUAGAAGAAAAGCACCUGUACCUAACAAGAAUAAGUGAAUGCUUAAAAUUAUGGACAUUUUAUUUCGAUCUUUCAA